rnacentral:tRNA from 1 species
GGAGAGGUGGCAGAGUGGUCGAAUGCGCUCGACUUGAAAUCGAGUGAGCCGCAAGGUUCCGAGGGUUCGAAUCCCUCCCUCUCCG